AGCGAACGCUGGCGGCAGGCUUAACACAUGCAAGUCGAGCGGGCGUAGCAAUACGUCAGCGGCAGACGGGUGAGUAACACGUGGGAACGUACCUUUUGGUUCGGAACAACACAGGGAAACUUGUGCUAAUACCGAAUAAGCCCUUACGGGGAAAGAUUUAUCGCCGAAAGAUCGGCCCGCGUCUGAUUAGCUUGUUGGUGAGGUAACGGCUCACCAAGGCGACGAUCAGUAGCUGGUCGAGAGGAUGAUCAGCCACACUGGGACUGAGAUACGGCCAGACUCCUACGGGAGGCAGCAGUGGGAAUAUUGGACAAUGGGGGCAACCCUGAUCCAGCAAUGCCGCGUGAGUGAUGAAGGCCUUCGGUU
rnacentral:rRNA from 1 species